GAAUAUUCCCGGUGUGCAGCUGGCACUUCGUAUGAAAAUGGCGUUUUUCACAUGAAACUGAUCCUGUCCUAUGAGUUUCCCCAGUCACUUCCUAAAGUGCCGGAAGUGUGGAGACAAAUCACAGCAAAACGAGCAGAUGAUGGAUCUCACAGUUGAAAUUGAAGGCAAUAUUGAGACUUUAGAAGAGGCUCUGGAUAAAUUGACAUGUACCGAGAUAGUGGAUGGUGAAAACAAGUAUAAAUGAAGCUAAGGGACGAUAUUCAAGAGUAAGUACGUAUAUUGGUGGUGGGUGUCGGAUUGCAGGUGGGUUAGGCUGUGAACUUCUCAAACGUAGUCUACAAGGAAGUUUUUUCCG